GUAGUACAGAGUGAAGGUGGUGGUGGGCUGUAGGUUGUAUGAAUGAAGGCUGGGUGUGUGUGAGGUUGUAGUACAGAGUGAAGGUGGUGGUGGGCUGUAGGUUGUAUGAAUGAAGGCUGGGUGUGUGUGAGGUUGUAGUACAGAGUGAAGGUGGUGGUGGGCUGUAGGUUGUAUGAAUGAAGGCUGGGUGUGUGUGUGUGUGAGGUUGUAGUACAGAGUGAAGGUGGUGGUGAGUUGUAGGUUGUAUGAAUGAAGGCUGGGUGUGUGUGAGGUUGUAGUACAGAGUGAAGGUGGUGGUGAGUUGUAGGUUGUAUGAAUGAAGGCUGGG